rnacentral:rRNA from 1 species
GACGAACGCUGGCGGCGUGCUUAACACAUGCAAGUCGAGCGGUAAGGCCCUUUCGGGGGUACGACGAGCGGCGAACGGGUGAGUAACACGUGGGUGACCUGCCCUCAGCUCUGGGAUAAGCCUGGGAAACCGGGUCUAAUACUGGAUAUGACUCCAUGACGCAUGUUGUGGGGUGGAAAGCCUUGUGCGGCUGAGGAUGGGCCCGCGGCCUAUCAGCUUGUUGGUGGGGUGANGGCCUACCAAGGCGACGACGGGUAGCCGGCCUGAGAGGGCGACCGGCCACACUGGGACUGAGACACGGCCCAGACUCCUACGGGAGGCAGCAGUGGGGAAUCUUGCGCAAUGGGCGAAAGCCUGACGCAGCGACGCCGCGUGAGGGAUGACGGCCUGGUGUAACGUACUUC